CUAGUCUCCAGAGCAACUACAAGUUGAUGUAGUUGUUCUGCUGAGUGUAUGUAGCCUGUCCCUACAGGGAAAAGGAAGCGUUUACAUUACUGCCUAGUAACACAUGCAUUCUCUGCAUCGAGCCGCUGAACAGUUCCUCGUAGUGAUGCAUUGAUUCAGUUGCAUCUCUGAGAAGAUGGUGAUUAGUGCAGUGCUUAGUUUUGGUGCCCAUACGUGUUGGCUUACUAAUUCUUUCCUAUGGGGAAAGCAUUGAAUUGGCUGAGAGUUUGUUGAGCUCGGCUAAGGAGGCUAGGUGAGGCCAGCUGCGAGGAGACCCAUGUGACGCUAGAAUAAAGAGAAGUAGAAUCACCUAUUACAUUGUUAACAUGAGGGUCAGGUACCCAAAUUAAGUUUUCACAGCUAUAGUGACAGGAAUACAUGUUUGUUUUUUUUCUUUUACAUUUUUUGUUUUAUUGACAUGAUAGCGUCAUACAGUCAUAGAAUAAAUUGUUACCAAGUUAUAAUAGCAUCUUGAGCAUGAGUAAUGCACAGUGCAAGGCUCAUAGAAACCUGGGUAUAGGUAACUCUGUCUAAAAUAUUAAAAGUAGUUGCUAAAUAGACAUCAAAGCUGGCAUUGGCAUAUUUAGAAAAGACUAGUACUAGCAUAGGUAAAUGCCAACACAUGUCACAUACAUUAGUAAUAGGUGAGAACUAUACCCUCUAAAAAGAGGCCCAGUAUGCCAAUAGUAAAGAGCAACCGAGUGAGUUGUAUCAAUACAAGCAGAGUAAUGCGUAAAAGCAGGAAACUUAAAACCUAGGGAAGUAAGUCUCAAUUUGUGAUGAAUUUGCCCUUCUGAGUAACUAUAUCGGAUGAAGAGCUCUCAUGAAGUCUGUCCAGUUGUCAUAAAGUUCAUGCCUCGUCCAAAAUGUUAGUAUUUGUCACUAGAGUAUUCC